AAUCAACGCUGGCGGCGUGCCUAACACAUGCAAGUCGCACGAGAAAGGGACUUCGGUCCUGAGUACAGUGGCGCACGGGUGAGUAACACGUGAAUAAUCUACCUUCGAGUGGGGAAUAACUGAGAGAAAUCUCAGCUAAUACCGCAUAAUACCCACGGGUCAAAGCAGCAAUGCGCUUGAAGAGGAGUUCGCGGCAGAUUAGUUAGUUGGCAGGGUAAUGGCCUACCAAGACGAUGAUCUGUAUCCGGCCUGAGAGGGCGCACGGACACACUGGAACUGAAACACGGUUCAGACUCCUACGGGAGGCAGCAGUGGGGAAUUUUGCGCAAUGGGGGAAACCCUGACGCAGCAACGCCGCGUGGAGGAUGAAAUCCCUUGGGAUGUAAACUCCUUUCGAUCGGGAAGAUAAUGACGGUACCGAGAGAAGAAGCCCCGGCUAACUUCGUGCCAGCAGCCGCAGU
rnacentral:rRNA from 1 species